CAAUUUCAAGUUAAAGUAGCUUAUUCUCAAAGCAGACAUGAUAGAAUCAACCUCAGGCAAAUUCCAAAAUUCACUUUCCAGUACAGAAAUCCAUUGAUGUUCGUUGCUUGUACAGCACAAACUGCUACCCAAUACUUUAGCAGCAAGAGGUGAACCCACACAUUUUCUCACUAACUUUUUGCCUAUUGCCACAAGCUCUGCACGCUCUUCUCGAUUUUCUCCAAAAGCUUGUUGUUUGAACAAAGACCAGAUGUCAUCAUCAGAUAAGCUUGCUAAAUGAUGAGCAUCAGAAGUUCCCAUGAUGGAUGCAACAAUGUCAAGUCUGGUAGUGAUCAAAAUUGAUGCACCUUUCUUUCCAUUUAGCAACAAAGACUUUAACUUAUUCCAUUUCUCUUUGUCUUCAGUCCACACAUCAUCAAGAACAAGUAAAUACCUAUUUUUUUGCAAAAUUUCUUGAACCUUUUGUUGCAUUGACUCUAAAGACGAGAGAUGUGGAUUUUUUCCAAUGGUGUUUUCUAUGAUGGACUCUAAAACUUUCAUCGCAUUGAUAUCACCAGAAACACACACCCAUAUUUUCAAGUCAAAAUGUGUCUUUACCCUUUCAUCAUUGAAGACUGUUUGAGCAAGUGUUGUUUUUCCAUAUCCACCGUGGCCAACAAUAGAAUAGACAGAGAGUUCUUCACUGUCACCAGCGUGCCGUAGAAGAAACUCUACAAUAUGCUCUUUAUCUUUGUCUCUUCCAUAUACUUUGGAUUCAGUGAUGACAGAGGUAGUUUGCCGCCGCCCUUCAUCUUCUGGUUGGCGCUCGAUGACCCCCACAUGUAAUCCGAACUUCAUCCUUUCUUCAGCAAUAUCGUCGAUCUCUUUAGCAAUCUCCUUCAUCCUCUUUCCAAUGUUGCGACGAACCAAAAUCUUCAUAGGAUGGAAACGAGUGAUCCGCUUGUUGUUACCAUGUGCUUUUAAGGUUAUUGAACAUUCAUCCAAUAUAUCAUCAAGCACAUAAGCAGCAUCACGCAGUUGCUGUAGCCACUCUUUGACAGCAUCGUUUGUUAUUUGCUUCUUUUCAGCAUCUUUUAGGACAGCACGGAUUAAAGUGAGCUUUCUAGAUAGGCUUUGGGUCAAUUCUCCAACACCCAAAUAGGUAGCAAGCUCCUCUUGUACAAAUGAUCCGAGGUUUUGAAUCAAGAUUCCAAGUAAAGCAUCAGCCAUUUUCAGAUGUGAGAACAGAAAUGAAUCAAAGUUGUUUGGAUUGGAGAUGAUUUUGCUCUAGGAAGAUGAAAUAUGAGUUGUUAUUUGUUUUCAAAGAUUAUAUAUUAAAUCAGUGGAUGUAGUUCUUCUGCAACAUGUCAAAAUUGGCUGCUAUAGAAAAAUAAAUAAUUAGUGAAUGACAGUGGGAAAAAACAAGUGUUGAAGGCACAUGGCCAUGAAAGGGAAAAAAACAAAAUUGGAAAACUUAUCUUAUGAAACAACAUCAUGCUCGUUCAUUUGUUCUUGUGUGGCCUAGAUUUCAUCAAAGAAAAUCCAAUACCAAAUAAUUGUAAUACUAAUUAUUAUUUAAUAUUUCAAGUUGGCAGUGUACCUGAAGUGCAAGUGGAUCAAGUAUGGUGGGAUGGCAUCAAGUUGGCAAGUGACACAUGAUUGACGGUGGUUGUGUUUUGUUUUUGAGAAGAAGAAGAAGAGUCUGCUACGAGAGUAGCACUGAACGUGUUCUAUUUUUGUUCCUUUCUAUUAUUUUAUUUGAUUUUUGUUUUUAAAAAAAGAAGUGACACAUGGUGCAAUAUUACUGGCUAUGUCAUGUGACAUAGCCCACCACAAUGUUACGGAAGUGCAAUCCCUUAAAAUAUGGUUCAUUUUAUUCUAUUCGUGUAUCUGUUAAGAUAGUUGUCAUGUACUAAUCAUGAUAAAUAUUAUUUCUGGAUACCGUGCAUACAUAAUUUAGAUCAUCCUUAAUUAUAUGUGUAACCCACGAUGCGGGAUAAAUACACUAGUAAAUAAAUAUAUAUAAACAGUAAAAUUGAAGACAACAGCGCACAUCUGAGCGUUACACAUCUAUAUCUUCAAUUAUGUUGUCAAAAUCUUGUUUCACGACGAAGUCAAACAUAAUAUCCGAAUAUUGCGUCGAUGCUGGCUUUUUAUCCUCUGCACACAUUGUUCAAUAUAAGUAUAAAAUCACACCAUAUUUGAUAUAGUAAAAAAAGUGAAAGGAAUAAAAUAAAGAGAUUCAUUCAAUUAAAUUACCACUAAUUGUUGGUUCUGCAUCAGAUUGCAAUUUGUAAUUCAAUUCAACUUCAGGAAUGUGAGCUAUCUUAUGCCAAUCUUCACCUAUACCUCUCUUGCAUCUCUUCUCCAACUUAGGGCAACCACAAAUUCUUAACUUUUGCAAGUUUUGGAGUUGCUGAAAGUUGUCUGGCAGUGAACUUAACUUUGAAGAGGAGCUAAAUAGUGGACUGAUUUCUAAUACUUGAAGAGAAGUCAUGGCACCCAAACAGUCUGGCAAGGAUGUUCGUGAAUGAAAAUCAAACAGACACAAUCUUUUCAGUGAGGGGAUGCCUUCUAUGCCAUCUAGUAUGUUUUCAUUACAAUCCGAGAGUCGCAGUUCACGGAGGGAAGUUAGACUGUUCAUGUUAUGUGGAAAAACAAUUUGUUUACAGAAAAGGAUUUUAAGAGUCUCGAGACAAGUUAGGUGUUUGAUACCCUCAGACAGGGAUUUGAAUUUAUUGCAGCUAGAAACAUACAAAUUUCGAAGAGAACUCAAACCUUGCAACAAGUGCUCUGAAAAUGACUCCAAUUCAUCACAUAAAUCAAUUCUAAGAAAUUCUAAUGCACUAAGAGUACUGAGUUCAACAGGUAAUUCCUUGAGUUCUUUAAAGCCUGAUAUCCAAAGUGACUUAAGAUUGUUACCAGCAAUUCCCCGUGAAGCUACAUCUUCAUUGCAAUUGUUGUAAAAAAUGGACUUCAAUAAUUCUUCAUUUCCUCGACUAGCAUAAAGUGACUCCAUAGAUGGAAGGGACUGCAAUGCAAGUUUAGGGACAUCUGUUAUAGCUAACUUCAAAAGCUGUUGUAGCAUCUCUACUCCUUCGACUUUCAACACCCUCUCUAAAUUUGGUAAGUCAGCCAAAGUAAAUUUUUUCAGUGACGUAAAAGCCUUCUCAGUCGUAGGUUCAUACAAACUAUCAUCAAUGUACUUUAAAUCUCUCAUUCUAGAUACAGAAAGGAAAGUUAAGCAUGGUAAUUUACCAAAUGGAGGAAUCUGCCUGCAGUUUUUACAGUCAUAGAGAAUAAUACUAACUAGACCUUUUAGAAUAGAAGUAUUUCUCAUCCAAUGAGGAAAAUGUGCUCCCAUAUAACCCUGCAACCCAAAACUCUUUAGACCUGAAUGAGGCUCAAGAGUUUCUAUUACUUGCUCAGCAUGAAUACUACUAACUUGUGAAUUAGUAUAAUCACCCCAUGACAAAUAUAAGCGAUUUAAGUCCUUCUUGCCAAUCAAAUUAGCUUUUCUUGCAUCCUCUUCAAUCGACACUUUCUGAAGGCCUUUAAUGUGUAGCUUUCCUCCUAAUUGUAAGUUGUGUAGCUCUGCUAAACCAAACCCAGUUUUUGAACCAACAAUGAAAAUGGUCAAUGUUUUCAGACAAGUUAACUCCCCAAUUUUAAAAGGAGUUGAUUUCAAUGAACUGCAAUUUUUAAUCAUGAGAUGUCGAAGGUCCUUCAAUUUUGUAAAUUGUUUGGGAAAAUCAGAUAGAUGAUGACAUUUUUCAAGUUUUAGUGUUUGCAAUUUCUGUAGUCUGCAAACAGAACCAGGCAAGGUAAUGAAGUCACAAGAUGAAAGUUCCAAGUACCUCAAAUGCAUUAAAUUUGAUGAUGAGAGUCGAUGAGACUUUGUAUGUAAAGCUCGAAGCGAAGUGGUUGAUAGAAACACAUCUAGAUUCUUUGAGGGUGGUUUAUACUCAAGAAAGGUUCGCAAGGAAUCAAAUUUUUGGAAGGGAAUCAUGUAGUCAUAUCUGAAUUUUUUAUCAAAGAGACUUAUAUGGUGAACUCUAAUUGACAAAUUUGUUAAAUUUGAAGCAUCUGAAGAAAUACAUUCAUCUCCCAUAAUAGACACUGCUAAAUCAUGGACAAAAUCAUGCAUUUUGAAAGUAAUGUUACCUACAAAAUCUGAUUUAACUUCUUCAAAUAAUGACCUUUGGUAUAAUUCAUUCCAUACCUCAUUACCAACAUGCUCCAUCUGUAAGUUUCCUCUAGAUGUAACAAGUCCAUUAGCCAUCCAAAGUUGAAUGAGAUUUUCCUUCACCAUUUCAUAAUCUUUGGGAAAAACAGCACAGAAAGUAAAACAUGGCCUCAAUGACAAUUUCAAGUUAAAAUAGCUUAGUCUCAAAGCAGACAUGAUAGGAUCAACCUCAGGUAAACUCCAAAACUCACUUUCUAGUACAGAAAUCCAUUGAUGUUCGUCACUUGUAAAGCACAAACUGCUUCCUAAUACUUUAGCAGCAAGAGGUGAACCCACACAUUUUCUCACUAACUUUUUGCCUAUUGCCACAAGCUCUGCACGCUCUUCUCUAUUUGCUACAAAAGCUUGUUGUUUGAACAAAGACCAGAUGUCAUCAUCAGAUAAGCUUGCUAAAUGAUGAGCAUCAGAAGUUCCCAUGAUGGAUGCAACAAUGUCAAGUCUGGUAGUGACCAAAAUUGAUGCACCUUUCUUUCCAUGUUGCAACGAAGACUUGAACUUAUUCCAUUUCUCUUGGUCUUCACUCCACACAUCAUCAAGAACAAGCAAAUACCUUUUGUUUUGCAAAAUUUCUUGAACCUUUUUUCGCAUUGACUCUAAAGAGGAGAGAUUUGGAUUUUUUCCAAUGGUGUCUUCUAUGAUGGACUCUAAAACCUUCAUCAUACUGAAAUCAUCAGAAACACACACCCAUAUUUUCAAGUCAAAAUGUGUCUUUACACUUUCAUCAUUGAAGACCAUUUGAGCAAGUGUUGUUUUUCCAUAUCCACCGUGGCCAACAAUGGAAUAGACAGAGAGUUCUUCACUCUCACUGGCGUGCCUUAGCAGAAACUCUACAAUCUGUUCUUUAUCUUUGUCUCUUCCAUAUACUUUCGGUUCGGUGACAGCAGAAGUAGUUUGGCGCCAUUCAUCAUCUCGUCGUUGGCGCUCCUCCGUGACUGCAAAUUGUUGUAAUCCGAACUUCAUCCUUUCUUCAGCAAUAUCAUCGAUCUUUUUAGCAACCUCCUUCAUCCUCUUUCCAAUGUUGCGACGAGCCAAAAUCUUCAUAGGAUGGAAACGAGUGAUCCGCUUGUUGUCGCCAUGUGCUCUUAAGGUUAUUGAACAUUCAUCCAAUAUAUCAUCAAUCACAUAAGCAGCAUCAAUCAGUUGCUGUAGCCACUCUUUGACAGCAUCGUUUGUUAUUUGCUUCUUUUCUGCAUCUUUUAGGACAGCACGGAUUAAAGUGAGCUUUCUAGAUAGGCUUUGGGUCAAUUCUCCAACACCCAAAUAGGUAGCAAACUCCUCUUGUACAAAUGAUCCGAGGUUUUGAAUCAAGAUUCCAAGUAAAGCAUCAGCCAUUUUCAGAUGUGAGAACAGAAAUGAAUCAAAGUUGUUUGGAUUGGAGAUGAUUUUGCUCUAGGAAGAUGAAAUAUGAGUUGUUAUUUGUUUUCAAAGAUUAUAUAUUAAAUCAGUGGAUGUAGUUCUUCUCCAAAUUGGCUGCUAUAGAAAAAUAAAUAAUUAGUGAAUGACAGUAGGAAAAAACAAGUUGUGAAGGCACAUGGCCAUGAAAAGGAAAAAAACAAAAUUGGAAAACUUAUCAUAUGAAACAACAUCAUGACCGUUCAUUUGUUCUUGUGUGGCCUAGAUUUCGUCAAAGAGAAUCCAAUACCAAAUAAUUGUAAUACUAAUUAUUAUUUAAUAUUUCAAGUUGGCAGUGUACCUGAAGUGCAAGUGGAUCAAGUAUGGUGGGAUGGUAUCAAGUUGGCAAGUGUAUAAUUUAGCUGUUUGGUGUUAUCUCAAAAUAAUAGGUAUCCUUUCUUGGCGUCUUUCUUUAAUACUCUAGACAGAACCUCAACUUUUAAGGACUAUUCGUCUUAAUGUUAGUUUUAUUAUAAUAACCCGUUAAACUUCUAUGCAUUGUGCUUAUAUUACUUGGGCAUGCAAUACUCAACUAAAAAUACAUAUGAUAAAAUAACCAAUACCAAUCAGAAGUUGGUGCAUCUAAACGAAGAUUGCAAAAA
rnacentral:lncRNA from 1 species